UAUUGGACAAUGGGGGAAACCCUGAUCCAGCAAUGCCGCGUGUGUGAAGAAGGCCUGCGGGUUGUAAAGCACUUUCGGAGGGGACAAAAAGCGUCGUUCUAACAAAGCGGCGUCUUGAUUUAACCCUCAUAAUAAGCACCGGCUAACUCCGUGCCAGCAGCCGCGGUAAGACGGAGGGUGCUAGCGUUGUUCGGAAUCACUGGGCGUAAAGGGCGCGUAGGCGGCCAGGCAAGUCGGCUUGUGAAAGCCCGGGGCUCAACCCCGGAGGUGCGGCCGGGACUGCUUGGCUGGAGGCCGGAAGAGGAGGGUGGAAUACCCAGUGUAGAGGUGAAAUUCGUAGAUAUUGGGUGGAACACCGGUGGCGAAAGCGGCUCUCUGGUCCGGACCUGACGCUGAGGCGCGAAAGCGUGGGGAGCAAAC
rnacentral:rRNA from 1 species